rnacentral:rRNA from 1 species
GGAGUUAGCCGGUGCUUCUUCUGUGAGUGAUGUCCUUCCUGCCGGUUAUUGACCCGCAGGCCUUCUUCCUCACUGAAAGUGCUUUACAACCCGAAGGCCUUCUUCACACACGCGGCAUGGCUGGAUCAGGGUUGCCCCCAUUGUCCAAUAUUCCCCACUGCUGCCUCCCGUAGGAGUCUGGGCCGUGUCUCAGUCCCAGUGUGGCUGAUCAUCCUCUCAGACCAGCUACGGAUCGUCGCCUUGGUGAGCCGUUACCUCACCAACCAGCUAAUCCGACAUAGGCUCAUCCGAUAGCGCGAGGCCCGAAGGUCCCCCGCUUUCCCCCGUAGGGCGUAUGCGGUAUUAGCCUGGGUUUCCCCAGGUUAUCCCCCACUACCGGGCAGAUUCCUAUGCAUUACUCACCCGUCCGCCGCUCGCCACCAGGGAGCAAGCUCCCCGUGCUGCCGCUCGACUUGCAUGUGUUAGGCCUGCCGCCAGCGUUCAAUCUGAGCCAGAUCGAACCCUGA